AGGCGGGGCAGGUUGCUAAGGCCUCAGGUCCUGCGGACCUGGAAGCUGGAGGCAAUCCGUGCUCCCUGGACCUAGGAGCCAGGUGGGGUGGCAGCCAGGACCUCCCAGCUGAGAUGGAGUGGACGAUCCUGCUCUUCCACUCCAAGUGGACCAUCGCCUUUGUCUUUGGCCUCGUGGUCGUGUUGCUCCUGCUGCUAUUUGUCAUCAACUCCAGCUGUGGCGGCUGUAUUCCCGGCUGUGGCGGCUGUAUUCCCGGCUGUGGCAGCUGUAUUCCCUGUGGCAGCUGUAUUCCCUGCUGUG